GCGUGCGCGAUGACGGCCUUCGGGUUGUAAAGCGCUUUUAGGAGAGAUGAGAAAGGACAGUAUCUCCAGAAUAAGCCUCGGCGAACUACGUGCCAGCAGCCGCGGUAAAACGUAGGAGGCAAGCGUUAUCCGGAUUUAUUGGGCGUAAAGCGUGUGCAGGCGGUCUAGCAAGUUGGAUGUGAAAGCUCCCGGCUUAACUGGGAGAGGUCGUUCAAUACUGUUAGACUAGAGAAUGGAAGAGGGAGGUGGAAUUCCGGGUGUAGUGGUGAAAUGCGU
rnacentral:rRNA from 1 species